rnacentral:tRNA from 1 species
GCACCGGCGGAUUGCGCGGCCAUAAUUGCGGCUCUUCAAGCUGCCGCGCCUGGGCUGGCAAGGUCAUGCCGUCGUUCAACUCGACGCCGUCGCGC